CCCAGACAGCAAAACCACAAGCAUCGCCAGCAGGAACGGAGCAAAGUGCGCGGGGCGGAGGAAAGGGAAGAGCGAGGGAAGGACACGGGAUCCAACCGACGCUUUCAAGUGGGGAGUGACCCAACUGGGCAAUAAGGGAAUGAAGAAUGGACAGACAUACAGACAGACACAGAAAAGCUGAAAUGAGGUCAUCUGGACUCUCUGACAGAGAAGCUACAGCCCUCCCC
rnacentral:lncRNA from 1 species